GAUGAACGCUGGCGGCGUGCCUAAUACAUGCAAUUCGAGCGAACGGACGAGAAGCUUGCUUCUCUGAUGUUAGCGGCGGACGGGUGAGUAACACGUGGAUAACCUACCUAUAAGACUGGGAUAACUUCGGGAAACCGGAGCUAUUACCGGAUAAUAUUUUGAACCGCAUGGUUCAAAAGUGAAAGACGGUCUUGCUAUCACUUAUAGAUGUAUCCGCGCUGCAUUAGCUAGUUGGUAAGGUAACGGCUUACCAAGGCAACGAUGCAUAGCCGACCUGAGAGGGUGAUCGGCCACACUGGAACUGAGACACGGUCCAGACUCCUACGGGAGGCAGCAGUAGGGAAUCUUCCGCAAUGGGCGAAAGCCUGACGGAGCAACGCCGCGUGAGUGAUGAAGGUCUUCGGAUCGUAAAACUCUGUUAUUAGGGAAGAACAUAUGUGUAAGUAACUGUGCACAUCUUGACGGUACCUAAUCAGAAAGCCACGGCUAACUACGUG
rnacentral:rRNA from 1 species